UACAGAGGUCCCGAGCGUUGUUCGGAUUCACUGGGCGUAAAGGGCUCGUAGGCGGUCUGUUGCGUCGGGAGUGAAAACUCAGGGCUUAACCCUGAGCCUGCUUCCGAUACGGGCAGACUAGAGGUAUGCAGGGGAGAACGGAAUUCCUGGUGUAGCGGUGAAAUGCGCAGAUAUCAGGAGGAACACCGGUGGCGAAGGCGGUUCUCUGGGCAUUACCUGACGCUGAGGAGCGAAAGUGUGGGGAGCGAACAGG
rnacentral:rRNA from 1 species